GAUGAACGCUGGCGGCGUGCCUAAUACAUGCAAGUCGAGGGAGUGGAUUAAGAGCUUGCUCUUAUGAAGUUAGCGGCGGACGGGUGAGUAACACGUGGGUAACCUGCCCAUAAGACUGGGAUAACUCCGGGAAACCGGGGCUAAUACCGGAUAACAUUUUGAACCGCAUGGUUCGAAAUUGAAAGGCGGCUUCGGCUGUCACUUAUGGAUGGACCCGCGUCGCAUUAGCUAGUUGGUGAGGUAACGGCUCACCAAGGCAACGAUGCGUAGCCGACCUGGGAGGGUGAGCGGCCACACUGGGACUGAGACACGGCCCAGACUCCUACGGGAGGCAGCAGUAGGGAAUCUUCCGCAAUGGACGAAAGUCUGACGGAGCAACGCCGCGUGAGUGACGAAGGCUUUCGGGUCGUAAAACUCUGUUGUUAGGGAAGAACAAGUGCUAGUUGAAUAAGCUGGCACCUUGACGGUACCUAACCAGAAAGCCACGGCUAACUACGUGCCAGCCGCCGCAGUAA
rnacentral:rRNA from 1 species